rnacentral:misc_RNA from 2 species
AACGCACCUUGCGCCCUUUGGUAUUCCGAAGGGCACGCCUGUUUGAGUGUCGUGAAAUUCUCAACCCUGCGCUUUUCUUGUGAAAGCGCGUGGGCUUGGACUUGGAGGCUUUGCUGGUCCUCGCGGAUCGGCUCCUCUCAAAUGCAUUAGCGAGACCCUUGUGGUGCCGCCCCCGGUGUGAUAAUUGUCUACGCCGUGGGUACACCGCGAUUGUGGGGGACCUGCUUCCAACCGUCGAAAGACAACUUCAUCGAAACUUGACCUCAAAUCAGGCGGGACUACCCGCUGAACUUAA